ensembl:lncRNA
CCAGCCCAGGGCUCAGGAAGUGACUCUUGCUUUGGUUCUGCCUGGGGUGCCUGUCACACUUUCCGAUGGUUGAUCAGCUCUGCCGGAAACAUGGAGGGCCUGGCCUUCAAUGGGUCUGGGGGCAGCUCUGCUCCCACCCCAGGGAGGGUCUUUGGGCACUGAGAGAAGAAUCUGAAGAGGCCAGCUCUACAGUACCCAUGAUGAAAAUAAGAGAAGGAGCAGGGGACGGGGAAACCUAGGGGCAGCCCUGGGACUACCAUUGUGGCCAUAAGGGAGUCAGCUCCAGGGAACCCCGCAUCUAGGGACUGCGGUGUAAAGUAUUCUGCUCAGCGGACCUUAAAAUCCCACUGACUGCUGAAGGAGACUUUCCCCCGGCAAGGGCCGGGGAAUCCCACACUGGGCACCACAGGGGUCAGACCCUGUGUGGAGGUCUAGAAGACAAUGUUUCCAUGGCAACGGACCAGUGAACUUGGAAAUCUGAGCAUCAUCUGUUGACACAGGGAAACCCAGAUGUGCAGGGAGAGCCUGGAGAUGUGGAAUCUGACAGUCACCUCCUUGGCCACUGGUCACUGUGGAUAGAAAUGUGUAAUCUGAGUGUGAGUUGGGUGAGUGUGUGUGUGUGUGUGUAUGUGUGAAAUGCAGCAAAUGG